rnacentral:rRNA from 1 species
UCGAGGGGUAUAGUUCUUCGGAACUAGAGACCGGCGCACGGGUGCGUAACGCGUAUGCAACCUACCUUUCACAGGGGGAUAGCCCAGAGAAAUUUGGAUUAAUACCCCAUGGUAUAAUUGGAUGGCAUCAUUUGAUUAUUAAAGUCACAACGGUGAAAGAUGGGCAUGCGUCCCAUUAGCUAGAUGGUAAGGUAACGGCUUACCAUGGCAACGAUGGGUAGGGGUCCUGAGAGGGAGAUCCCCCACACUGGUACUGAGACACGGACCAGACUCCUACGGGAGGCAGCAGUGAGGAAUAUUGGACAAUGGGCGCAAGCCUGAUCCAGCCAUGCCGCGUGCAGGAUGACGGUCCUAUGGAUUGUAAACUGCUUUUAUACGGGAAGAAACCCUCUUUCGUGAAAGAGAUUGACGGUACCGUAAGAAUAAGGAUCGGCUAACUCCGUGCCAGCAGCCGCGGUAAUACGGAGGAUCCAAGCGUUAUCCGGAAUCAUUGGGUUUAAAGGGUCCGUAUGCGGCCUUAUAAGUCAGUGGUGAAAUCUCCCGGCUCAACCGGGAAAUUGCC